ACACCCACUAAAAUUAGACUUACUUUGGCACAUAGGUAAAUCAGAAGGGGCAGACAUCAGACCUGCAACAUGAUCUUCUUUAAUCGAUCCGGAAUAAGGGCAACUUCCUCAAGCAGAUACUGUAACACACAUCCAUAUAAUCAAUUGUUAUCAUUUACUUCCAUCGAUCUAAAAGCAACAAAGAAAAGCACCAGUGGUUUCCCCUUUUAGUUUUAGGUUUAGAAAUCUAAAAUCCACCAUUUUCAAAUCUUACUUCAACUCGGACAGACCAUAGACAAAUCUCUCCAGCUCUCUCGCCGUGAGUUGCGCCUGGUUUCUAGAUUUUGCCUUCUCUCGCGGUUCGCAACAGAAGCUGCUCUUAAGAGACCCGCGAAAUGUGAUGAGGUUUGGAAGAAGACCCAUACAAAAAGCAAAAUCGGGGAAGAAGCUUGGGUUGAGCCACGGGCUGAGGAGGCUUAUAAGCAGUGGAAGAGCUCGCUAGGAGUCAGCUGACCGAUGAGCAAGGCCAGUCAAUCAUGCCAUCGGAGGAAGAAACUCUCCCAUUGUGGUUGAACGUGGUUGGAGGCGUGCAUAAGGGUAGAGCAUACGACCUUUCCUCCGAGCACAAUUUUCAUCGCCUCACUUGUGGACUACAAGGUAUUGGUACAUCCGCCACCGUGCAAAAUGAGGACCUUGAGGA